GAUUUCUGGCUUGAAGCAGUUUGCCGGCCACGGUUUCGUGUGUCAGUGCUUGCUGUUCUGGCCAUCCUUCCAAUGGCUGCGCGUGCGUCCUUCAUUGGGCGCGCGUGCGGUGUUGGAUCUUUUACUUUGAAAAAAUUAGAGUGUUUCAAGCAGGCGUUUGCUAUGAAUACAUUAGCAUGGAAUAAUAAUCUAGGACUUCCGUCCUAUUUUGUUGGUUUCUAGAAUGGAAGUAAUGAUUGAUAGGGAUAGUUGGGGGUGCUAGUAUUCAGUGGCCAGAGGUGAAAUUCUCGGAUUCACUGAAGACUAACUUAUGCGAAAGCAUU
rnacentral:rRNA from 1 species